rnacentral:rRNA from 1 species
GACGUAGGGCGCGAGCGUUGUCCGGAUUUACUGGGCGUAAAGCGCACGUAGGCGGCUUUCUAAGUCGGGGGUGAAAUCCUGGAGCUCAACUCCAGAACUGCCUUCGAUACUGGAGAGCUUGAGUCCGGGAGAGGUGAGUGGAACUGCGAGUGUAGAGGUGAAAUUCGUAGAUAUUCGCAAGAACACCAGUGGCGAAGGCGGCGCACUGGCCCGGUACUGACGCUGAGGUGCGAAAGCGUGGGGAGCAAACAGG